ensembl:snRNA U4 U4 spliceosomal RNA
AGCUUUGCUGCAGUGGCAGUAUCGUAACCAAUGAGGUUUAUCUGAGGCGCGAUUACUGCUAAGUGAAAAAAAAGUCAAUAUGAAUUAUUUUUAAAGAAAGGAAGGAGGAGACAUUAUAACUGAU